GACGAUUUUUGGGGAGCUUCAAGAGGGAAUUUUCAUCAUCAAUGUGAAGGUAAGUUAUCCCCACCUAUUUUGAGUUAAGUACAUCAAUUAUGUAUGGAUUUGAGCAUGAAAAUUGUAGAAAAAUUGAGGAUUUAGGCCUAGGGAUUUGAAAAUAAGAUUUGGUGAUUUGAGGGGUUAAAUGAACUUAGAUUUUGGUAAAUUUUAUAUGUACAGACUCGUGGAGAGACGAGGAAUCCGGUGAUGUGACUUUCAUAAUUUUUAGAGAAGUGGGCCCCAGGCUCGGGUUUUGCAAAUUUCGUGAUUUUCGAUAUUUUUCGAGUCUUUUCGAUUGAGUUAUAUUCCCUUAGCCUAUUGUAAUAUAUUCCUUGUGGUUUUGGCAAGAUUCGACACACGAGGAGGUCGAUUCGAAAGGAAAGGGCAUCACAGAGUAGACUUUUGGCCAUCUUGAGGUGAGUAAUAGAUGUAAAUGCUGUUCUGAGGGUUUGAAACCCCGUACUUUCACAUCGUAACGCUAUAUUGAGGCGUGACACGCACUCCAUGGUGAGUGCGGGGUCGGAUACUAUUGGGGAUUGUGACUUGGUCCAUCCCGUGUGAUGUUUAUACUAUACUGGUGAUUGAUACACAUACUUCAUUAAUAUUACUGGGCUUGAUGCCAUGUUUGGGGCCUUGUGCCGAUUUGUAAAAUCCUUCGAGGAUUGAUAUUACUGCUUAGCAUGAUUUGCAUAUCAUUUAAUUUCAGUCCAAGGUUUUAAAUACUGUUUUGCAAACUCAGCCAUAAUUCUAAGUGUUGAAAACUUAAAUGAUAUUUUUAAAUGUAUUCUGGGCUAGGAACUUCUGUUUUGUAAAUGCCCAAGGGGCUUAUUAUAUUAUUUUCUGGACCGAUUAUAAAGUGACUUGAAAUAGUGGUAACAAUGACACUGUGUGAUAUACUUGAAACAGUGGUAACAAUGACACUAUGUGAUAUACUUGAAACUGUGGUAACAAUGACACUGUGUUGAUAUACUUGAAACAGUGGUAAUAAUAACACUGUGUGAUAUACUUGAAAUAGUGGUAACAAUGAUACUGGAUGAUAUACUUGAAUAGUGGUAACAAUGGCACUGUAUAUUAUAAAUUGGUCAGGUAACAAUGACUGACCGGUCAGGUAACAAUAACUGACCAAGAUAUUGCGCUUGGGCUGUAGGAGCCCCUCCGGAGUCUGUACACACCCCCAGUGAGCGCCGUCGACGAUAAAUAAAUAUGGAUGGCUCGGGCUGCACGCCGCAGUGGGGACUGGAGUGUACCAUCAUAUGCAUUACAUUGCAUUCAUGUAUUUGUAUUUAUACUGGUGUUUAGCUGCUCAGUUCCAUAUGUUGCUGUAUAUUCAGAUUGUAGCUUACUUUGUGUAUUUACUGGAUUUUCUUAUCUUCGGACUGUAGUUACUUUUAUUACUCACUGGGUCGGAGUACUCACUUUACUCCCUGUACCUUGUGUGCAGAUCCAGGGCAGUCUCAGGCUCAGUAGAUCCAAUCGAUCAGCAGAUCCAGCCUCUGGGAGUAUCGAGGUAGCUACACAGCAUUCACAACCAUUGAUCUUCUCCCUCCUAUCCUAUCUCUCUAUUUCCGCAUUAUCGGACUUUGGAUAUACCAUGUAUUAGGAUGAUAUUCUGUAUUCUAGAGGCUCAGAUUCGUGACACCGGGUCCUAGUGAGAUUAUAUUAUGUAUUUUGUUAAAAUCUUCAGUACUUUAAUCUUUCUUAAUUGAUAUUUCUUUCUGCUAUUUUUGAUAAAUUGGGUUAAGUGUUGAAUAAUGGUCGGGCUUGCCUAGUAGUGUGCUGGGCGCCAUCACGACCGGGAUUUGGGUCGCGACAAGUUGGUAUUAGAGCCAUGGUUACUUGGUC
rnacentral:lncRNA from 1 species